UCUUUACACACAAAUCAUAGACAACUUUCAAGAAAGCUUUUGCUUUAGUUUUCUCUCCCUUUUUCUCUCCUUCUACCACACAACCACUUUGGUGUUCUUGAAGUUAUUUUUCUCUCCAAAUCAAAUUGUUAUUGAUGCAGAUCUGGAGAACGAAGGCACGGACCCAUAUGCCAGUUUUGAUGGUUUUUGAAACCUUCAACGAACUAUUAUGUGCUAGUUUAGAAAUUACCAGUUGUGCUUAUGUGUGAUUUGUUUUAUGGCAUAUAAAUAUUUAUAACGAUGUCAUGUUUGGCAUGUUUUAUGUUAUAUGCUUAUGGUGCCGUCUGUGGCACUAAUUUUGAUGCACCUAGUGUGCAUAUGGCAUGUAAAGAUAAACCUAAGUAACUUUUUAUAAACGUAUCGAGGUAUUUCAGUCA